rnacentral:rRNA from 1 species
AAUGGGUCAGCGACUUAUAUUCUGUAGCAAGGUUAACCGAAUAGGGGAGCCGAAGGGAAACCGAGUCUUAACUGGGCGUUAAGUUGCAGGGUAUAGACCCGAAACCCGGUGAUCUAGCCAUGGGCAGGUUGAAGGUUGGGUAACACUAACUGGAGGACCGAACCGACUAAUGUUGAAAAAUUAGCGGAUGACUUGUGGCUGGGGGUGAAAGGCCAAUCAAACCGGGAGAUAGCUGGUUCUCCCCGAAAGCUAUUUAGGUAGCGCCUCGUGAAUUCAUCUCCGGGGGUAGAGCACUGUUUCGGCAAGGGGGUCAUCCCGACUUACCAACCCGAUGCAAACUGCGAAUACCGGAGAAUGUUAUCACGGGAGACACACGGCGGGUGCUAACGUCCGUCGUGAAGAGGGAAACAACCCAGACCGCCAGCUAAGGUCCCAAAGUCAUGGUUAAGUGGGAAACGAUGUGGGAAGGCCCAGACAGCCAGGAUGUUGGCUUAGAAGCAGCCAUCAUUUAAAGAAAGCGUAAUAGCUCACUGGUCGAGUCGGCCUGCGCGGAAGAUGUAACGGGGCUAAACCAUGCACCGAAGCUGCGGCAGCGACGCUGAUGCGUUGUUGGGUAGGGGAGCGUUCUGUAAGCCUGCGAAGGUGUGCUGUGAGGCAUGCUGGAGGUAUCAGAAGUGCGAAUGCUGACAUAAGUAACGAUAAAGCGGGUGAAAAGCCCGCUCGCCGGAAGACCAAGGGUUCCUGUCCAACGUUAAUCGGGGCAGGGUGAGUCGACCCCUAAGGCGAGGCCGAAAGGCGUAGUCGAUGGGAAACAGGUCAAUAUUCCUGUACUUGGUGUUACUGCGAAGGGGGGACGGAGAAGGCUAUGUUGGCCGGGCGACGGUUGUCCCGGUUUAAGCGUGUAGGCUGGUUUU